AUCCAGAGAAGAAGCAGUCAUUCCACCUCCUGUUCUAGUCCCACAACCUGUAACGGUGAACCCGCUGGAGCUGGCUGGGGGAGGACACAAGUUUGUUUCAGAGGGACUGUCUGAGAGAU
ensembl:snoRNA SNORD22 Small nucleolar RNA SNORD22